UACGUAGGGCGCAAGCGUUGUCCGGAAUUAUUGGGCGUAAAGAGCUCGUAGGUGGCGUGUCGCGUCUUCCGUGAAAGCCCAUGGCUUAACUGUGGGUCUGCGGUGGAUACGGGCAGGCUGGAGGCUGGUAGGGGCAAGCGGAAUUCCUGGAGUAGCGGUGAAAUGCGCAGAUAUCAGGAGGAACACCGGUGGCGAAGGCGGCUUGCUGGGCCAGUUCUGACGCUGAGGAGCGAGAGCGUGGGGAGCGAACAGG
rnacentral:rRNA from 1 species